rnacentral:rRNA from 1 species
UACGAAGGGGGCUAGCGUUGCUCGGAAUCACUGGGCGUAAAGCGCACGUAGGCGGCUUUCUAAGUCAGGGGUGAAAUCCUGGAGCUCAACUCCAGAACUGCCUUUGAUACUGGAGAGCUCGAGUCCGGAAGAGGUGAGUGGAACUGCGAGUGUAGAGGUGAAAUUCGUAGAUAUUGGGAAGAACACCAGUGGCGAAGGCGGCUCACUGGCCCGUAACUGACGCUGAGGUGCGAAAGCGUGGGGAGCAAACAGG